AACGAACGCUGGCGGCAUGCCUAACACAUGCAAGUCGAACGAACCCUUCGGGGUUAGUGGCGCACGGGUGCGUAACGCGUGGGAACCUACCAUCAGGUUCGGAAUAACAGUUAGAAAUGACUGCUAAUACCGGAUAAUGUCUUCGGACCAAAGAUUUAUCGCCUUUUGAUGGGCCCGCGUAAGAUUAGGUAGUUGGUGGGGUAAAAGCCUACCAAGCCGACGAUCUUUAGCUGGUCUGAGAGGAUGAUCAGCCACACUGGGACUGAGACACGGCCCAGACUCCUACGGGAGGCAGCAGUGGGGAAUAUUGGACAAUGGGCGAAAGCCCGAUCCAGCAAUGCCGCGUGAGUGAUGAAGGCCUUAGGGUUGUAAAGCUCUUUUACCAGGGAUGAUAAUGACAGUACCUGGAGAAUAAGCUCCGGCUAACUCCGUG
rnacentral:rRNA from 1 species